rnacentral:misc_RNA from 1 species
ACAAACUUGGUCAUUUAGAGGAAGUAAAAGUCGUAACAAGGUUUCCGUAGGGUGAGUGAUUAAUCCUUUCUUGUUAUGAUUUGAAUAUUUUACUAACGUUUUUAUAGUGAACCUGCGGAAGGAUCAUUACCGAGUUCUGGGUUCUCUUUUGAGGCCUGACCUCCCAACCCUUGUGUUUAAAACAAUACCAUGUUGCUUCGGCGGGCCCGUCCUCGUAAGGGGACCGCCGGACACCCUCUUAGGUGUCUGGCCCGUUGCCCGUCGACAGCCCCCCAUUUAAACUCUUGUUUAACGGUGUCGUCUGAGUAACCAAUUUAAAUUAAAUUAAAACUUUCAACAACGGAUCUCUUGGUUCUGGCAUCGAUGAAGAACGCAGC